AUGUUUUAAAGGGACCGUGACCAUAUAUAAUUUUAUUAGAUACUGUGAGCCAGCCAUCUUUUAUUGAUUAAAUUGUUAUUUUGUAGCACUUUUGAUUAAUUUUAAAGGCUAAUAUAGACACCUUUGGGCAGCAAUUUUUUAUUACAUUCAAGUAAUUUUGGGCUAAAAAUCUUUUUUCAAUUGGUCUUUA